GAUUGUAAAUUCUUCUCUACAAUCGCGGCUG
rfam:Bacteroides clarus YIT 12056 genomic scaffold Scfld19, whole genome shotgun sequence.